UCUGGGCAGCCCCGUGGCUGCUGCUGAGGGGGAACACAGGUCCUGAAGGCCUGAGAAGAAAGGGAAUGUGCUGGGGGAACGAGGGGACUGCGGGGGCGUAGGGAAUGCAAGACAUCCAGCCAUAGGAAAUCAAGAGCCUGCCUCACUUAAAUCCUCACACUGUCACCGCCGAAAUGUUGCUGCAGAGACCUCGGAAUUCCCCGAGCAUUUGAUUUCAAGGGGUUAUUUCACAGGUAAGGAAUGCAGCCCUCUGCCUCCAUCGCACAUCUCCUUCCCCCACCAGGGGCCGGCCAGCCGCUCUCCUUGCCAGGCUGCGGUCCUGCUGAGGGGCUCAGUGCCACCCGCAGCUCCUAGGAAGCCUCACCCAGGCACUGCACGCAGCCCUUCCAUCCCUGCCCCACACCGCAGUGCGCCGAUCGCCACCCGGAGAUGCCUACAGAGCCUCCCAGCUACACGUCUGCGCUUGGAGUGCCCCAAUUACUGCGUGCAUGGGCAGAUCUGGGCAGUGCUAUGGGUGUACCUGCAUUCGCGUUAUCUGGGUUAGCAGCGAGCGGCACAGGAUGGGAGCUCGGGGAAUUGGGCAAACUAUUCAAAGCAAAAGAAAGCGUCUGAUGAAUUAGCCAAUGUUUGUGUUUGUGGAUGGUCCCCCAAAAAAAAGCAACAAAACCUCCAGUGCUUAGCAGCGCGUUUGUUACUCAAAAUUACUCCAUGAAUCACUUCUGACUGAGUACAUAUUGCAGUUUCUCAUGUCCUGUUUGUGUUUUUAUCUUUGAGCCCUGGCUGGCCCUAAUUUUGCUUGUGCUGAGUGGUUGAGUUCAGUCUUCCAAGUCCAUACAGAGCAUCACUCUUUCAUCCUGUGAAGUUUUGUGCAAACAGAACUUGCAACCAACCAAACCAAACCAAGCAAGCUGCCGCCAUUAAAAGUAAUUCACAGAUUCCUCGUGAGCAAAUGGGCACAUUUCUGCAGUACUCACUGCUGGCUCCUCCAAGGGACCACAAAGCAGUGCUGUC
ensembl:lncRNA